GUAAAUAAGUGCCUCAAAGUGAAAUAAAAAUAUGCAUACCUCUGCUUACUUAUACAUGAAAAAAUUUACAAUUGUAAAAGUAUAUCGGUGCUCGCUUAAUUGAGAAGUUUACUUCUUGAACGAAUUAUUAGUCAAAUGUGCGGUAAAAUCAUUUAUGCGAUGGUCAUUUAAACGGAGCAUACUGUAAAACAUAAUUAAGAAAAUUAUUUUGAAACAAAGUAACUUCAAAACAAACUUUAAAAUGAAUUUUAUUUAUAUAAAAAAAAAAUAAGUAGAAGCAAAGUACCUCCAAAAGCUACCUUAACUACAGUUCCAAAUUAAUAACUUUUAAACUAUCUAUGUAAGGGAAUGUUAUAGCACAGACAGACGACAACGUUAAUCCGAAUCGCGCGGCGCAGUUGUUGCGAUCAAAAUUGUAACCUGCUAAAUGGCAGUGUUGUGGAUUAAGUAAACUGCUACAUUAUUGUUAGAGAACGCAACUGACACAGCUAGCCUGUUAACUAUACUCGUUAAGGUCGCAAUUCGGUAUUCGAUAACUCCCACCAUUGCUUUGUUUUUGUAAAUUACCGAAUAUAUCAUUACCAACUCAACGAAGUGGCAAUUCUGAUAGUGUUGUAAUACACGCGUUAAAAUGUCAGCUGAUUCCUUUCUUUCACUUAUUUUCUGGAAUUUUCUUGCGCGAGAAGUGCUACAUUUUAUCAAAAGUUCAAUAAAUGUAUCUGUCUUGGAAUUAAUAAAUGUUUAUAAAUAAAAGAACUUCACGUCAGCUGAUUCGAAAGUACUUUUAACCAGAAAAAGAAUAAGGGGCCUUCGAAGUUGAAAGUGUUACCGAGUUACCAGAUAACGAACUAAUGCAUUAACGAGGAUAGUCUGAAUACCCUCAUUUAUUUAUUUUUUUCUAACUAUGCAGCUAUAUUAUAUUUGAAAGCUACAUAUGUAUAUGUAUGUAUAAAAGUUCUAAUUUUAAUUGCCAAUUAUUGUUAUGCUAUUCUUUAACCUAAUAACGUUUUUAUUAACCAUUUUAUUUGAGCUUGAAGCCCGUUUUUAUACAUACAUAUAUAUAUAUAUUUUUUUUUUUGAAGAAAUCGUCUCUCUUCCAUCAGACGUCGCUAAACUUGCGAAGAUGUCUUACGAACAAAUGCUAUAAUCUCCAAAAUAUUUUUGUUGUUGUCUUCAAUUGAAAACCAAAAUUUCAUUAAAAGCAGGCUCAAACUCAAAUAAAAUUGUUCUAGUUUUACGAUAUACAUAUGAAUAGAUACUAACAUUUUGAUGUAGAAUUAAUCAAAAGAUAUUUAAGCUGCUUCUAACAAGCAAAGCAUACAUAUAUUUACCUGCGUACGCUACAUAUGUACAUACAAUUAGGGUGGCCCUUAAAAUAUCAACAUUAUUUUGCUAGCGUACAAAAUAGCGACAUCCACGAAAAUCCCAAAAUAAAAAAAAAU